AAUUGCUAGGGGUGCCUUAUGGCUGAGAAAUGAAUAUUAUUCAUUAACCCUUGUACCUGAACUGGAUAAUGCCAGCGUAGGAAAGCGUCUAUAUU
rnacentral:ncRNA from 1 species